rnacentral:piRNA from 1 species
UGGCCAGUUGUACAGUCAGGAGUGGU